rnacentral:rRNA from 1 species
ACGAACGCUGGCGGCGUGCUUAACACAUGCCAGUCGAACGGAAAGGCCCUGCUUUUGUGGGGUGCUCGAGUGGCGAACGGGUGAGUAACACGUGAGUAACCAGCCCUUGACUUUGGGAUAACUUCAGGAAACUGGGGCUAAUACCGGAUAGGAGCUCCUGCUGCAUGGUGGGGGUUGGAAAGUUUCGGCGGUUGGGGAUGGACUCGCGGCUUAUCAGCUUGUUGGUGGGGUAGUGGCUUACCAAGGCUUUGACGGGUAGCCGGCCUGAGAGGGUGACCGGCCACAUUGGGACUGAGAUACGGCCCAGACUCCUACGGGAGGCAGCAGUGGGGAAUAUUGCACAAUGGGCGGAAGCCUGAUGCAGCAACGCCGCGUGCGGGAUGACGGCCUUCGGGUUGUAAACCGCUUUCGCCUGUGACGAAGCGUGAGUGACGGUAAUGGGUAAAGAAGCACCGGCUAACUACGUG